rnacentral:sRNA from 1 species
AUGAUGAUAUAUCUUCUUUUAUUUACUCUGAGUCCCAGGAGACACAACUAAAUCUCCAGAACUAUGUGUUUUGUUGAUAUGUAAAACGGGAAGGACAAGGUUUUUCACAUCAAUUAAAUAAGAUCAUAUUAGCUUCUUGUUAUAUAAAAUCUCGUAAAAUCUUAACAUGUUUGUCUGAGACAUUUUUGCCUAUAAAACCUCUGUUGGACAGUCACUUCUUUGUAUACAAGACUGAACCAAAUAACAAUGAGACAACGCAUGUUGUUUUGAAUUGUUUGCCAUGUUGUCUAUUUUGACAGAAUUUUAAUCCCGAUAUUAUUAAGUUUUUAAAAUGAUCUUGGUUCAUAUUAUUGGGUGUGGAAUGGCAACUAGCUUUUAUUUAACUCACAAAACAAAUUUCAACUCAAAUUUCAAUUCAAUUCAAUUCAAACAGGAUGAUUUGAUGGCACUGCUCUAGCUGCUAUAUAUGUGAAAAGCAUUUUGCAAGUACAAAAAACUACAAUAUAGGAAUAACAAUACACUUCAAUUUUCAGAGGUCUAUGAGAUCUUUGUUUCUAUAAUUUGCAGAAUUGGGUCUUACAGAUCUAAAGUUUUGUAUGCAAAUUGAACAUCAGUCAUUGGGUAAUUUUCAGCUUAAAUAAUUAUUAAUAAACUCUCAACUGAGGUCCAAGGUUUCCAUUAAAUAAGAAAAAUAGAGACAUGUUUGUUGUCC